rnacentral:rRNA from 1 species
GCCCUUUGUACACACCGCCCGUCGCUGCCCGGGACUGAGCCGUUUCGAGAAAAGCGGGGACCGCUGUUUCUCCGCCUUUCGGGGUUUGGAGAUUCUUUGGUGGAAACCGCCUUAAUCGCAGUGGCUUGAACCGGGCAAAAGUCGUAACAAGGUUUCCGUAGGUGAACCUGCGGAAGGAUCAUU